rnacentral:sRNA from 18 species
CUUAUGGAGUGUUAUACAAACCAAAGUAGCUUGGGCAAAAUGGAACACUAUGAAGUAGGAA